ACGGGGGGUGCGAGCGUUGUCCGGAAUCACUGGGCGUAAAGGGCGCGUAGGUGGUUUGAUAAGGGUGUGGUGAAAGUCCGGGGCUCAACCCCGGAUCUGCCGUGCCGACUGUCAAACUCGAGGACUGUAGAGGCAGACGGAAUUCCGGGUGUAGCGGUGGAAUGCGUAGAGAUCCGGAGGAAGACCGGUGGCGAAGGCGGUCUGCUGGGCAGUUUCUGACACUGAGGCGCGACAGCGUGGGGAGCAAACAGGAUUAGAUACCCUGGUAGUCCACGCCGUAAACGAUGGGUACUAGGUGCCUGGGGGAGCGACCCUCUGGGUGCCGGCGCUAACGCAGGAAGUACCCCGCCUGGGGAGUACGACCGCAAGGUUG
rnacentral:rRNA from 1 species